UUGCGUUUGAAGGCGUUGUUAAUGUCCUUCACCACGCGCUGUACUAGCACCGCCACCUCCUCCGGGGACUCGGCCAUCUUCGGUCCCCGCCCUGCCGCCUUGUCUGCUGCCGCUGCCCCUGCUGGAGCUUACUACUGGCAGCGGCGCCACCGUCGGCUCACAUAGGUAGGCCGGGGAAAGCAAAGCGCAUCCGGGUCAGCGGCCCCCGCGGGGCGGAGCACCGAGCUCGGGGGAUCGAAUAACCUAACUGGGCGGCACUGCCUCCUUUUCACCUGACCUGACCCCGGCGGAGGUAAAGCGGCUAGGGGAAUAAGAAAGGAACGAUAAGGAACAGGAGCGCUAGCUAUUGCUCGAACAAGGCGACCGAAAAGACUCCGUCUGCUUGCUUUGCUUCCCCACGCCGUACUUUUUCCCCACGCUUGCUGGAGUACCGUGUAUUCUUCCUCUUUUACUAAGCUCCGCUGUCUUCUCAUUUUCAUUUUAAAGGGCAGAAUGACGCACCAAGGUUGCUAUGGUGUGGAAGGAAAUAGAGGAGAUCCCUGGGGGCUACAAUCCUCAGGCAGCCUUGUUCCACCUGGCUACUUGCAGGAGGAACCCGGGAGGAAAGAAGUUCCGGUCCUGGGGCGGAGUGAUUCCGAAGUUUUCUUUUUGUGUCGUCUAUGGUUUCCAUGGAGAUUAGUGUGGGACUUAAAGUUCGAAUGCUCUUGCCUUUUGCUCGUUCCGUACAACAACAGAGAGGCGGAACCUAAGGACUAUGACAUACAUGAAAUUUCUUUGGGCUCUAAAAACUUAUGUCGCUCUACCUACUGGCGACUUGGAACCGAGGAUGAGAAAUGGAUAACCACAUCUCAGGACCAUUUGUCUCAACCCUACAGAAUUAAAGAAUAUCAGGAACUAGAGAUUCGGAAGCCUCUGUUGGAUGAAGAUGCUUUUGAGUUAGGUGUUACUGACAGGGACACAGGGUUACCUGAGGCAGAUUUUGGAGCUGUAUUGCCACGUCACUCUCCAGAUCACUUUAAAAUGUUUCUAGAUACAACAUACCGAAUGGAUUAUGUUCCACCAUAUGACUAUGCACCAUAUGGCUGGCCAGCCCCUGCCCCUCUGCCCCUGGUUUGGCUGGGUAGCAAAGGUGGAAAUGGUGGACCAGCUGGUGGCCAUGCACGUGGGAGGCAUCUUCCCAGGAUCUUUCUUCAGGGCCGAAUCCCUUCCAAUCAAUCAGAUAUUGGAACCAGCCACGACAUCUGCAGGAGUUCAGAAUCUGGGACACUUCGAACUCCUCCUCCCCAUCAAUCUGGACAGGUGGGGGGGGCAUGGUUGAGCACUCAAAGGAUGAGGUGGAAGAGCUGGACUGAGCAGUGAUUGAUGGAACACAGGAUGGAUGAGAAAAGAUGCUGGGAGCUGCAGCUGGAAAGCCACUGAUUAAUCUGUUGGGUGAUCAGGAAGGAGCCGAUGUGUCAAGCGCCCAGUUUUCUGGUUUGCCUUUGGGAAUGCAAAAACUUGGUUGAGAGCCACACCCGGUCCCCUACCUUCAAGGGAGGGCCAGGCUGGUGAUGGCAGUCAGCAAAUCGUUUGUAUGCUUCCUUCGCCUGAUCCAGCUGAUCCCUCGGGACUACCUGUAUGGUCUGCGACUCCUGAAGCAUGAGAUCUGCAGCAGGAACUGGUGAGGGAGGCAAGACUGAUGGGAAAAACCGGGGGUGGUAGCCAUAGAUGGCGAAGAAGGGGGCUUGUUAUGUGGAUGCAUGCAGAGAGUUAUUGUACACAAAUUCUGCCAGUGGCAGCAGAUCCACCCAAUUGUCCUGCUGAAAGCUAGUGUAACAUCACAAGUAUUGGCAUUUGUGUGUUCUGUCUGACCGUCUGAUUGAGGAUGGUGGCCAAGGACAGAUGGAUUUGGACUUCAAGAGUUCGAAACAGAUGGUGUAGUUCUGCUCUGAAGAAUUGAGUUUUCAGGAAUGGAACACACAGGGGAGCAGGGACUGGCCCUUACCAACCAGCUGUAACAGGACCACCACUACAGCUUUGUCCAGUGCAUAGGCUUCCACAACAAACGGUCUGGUGGGGUCAGGCUGUUGCAGGAUGGUUUCUGAGGUGAAGACCUCUGUGAGGAACUGAAAUGCCUGUUCAGCUGCGUUCAUCCAGCAGAACUUUUCCUUGGACCAGAGGAGGUCUGAGAUUGGCAUGGUUGACUCGGAGAAGUGGGAGAUGAAUCGGCAAUAAUAGUUGGCAAAGCCCAAUAAGUGUUGCACAUCCUUGACACGGUGAUGCUACCUCAGGUGCUGCAACACUUCUCAAAUGUGCUUCUCAUGCUCCUGGGGUUCUCAUGAGAAUAUCAGGAUGUCAUCCAGGUAAAUCAUCAGGAAAUGGUCUAGGAAAUCCCAGAAGAUAUCGCUCAUGAAAUGCUGGAAGACUGCAGGAGCAUGGAGGAUGUUCAUCCUGUUCUUGAUGGGGUUACACUCCCCUUGAAGGAACAGGUUCGUAGCUUGGAAGUCCUUUUCGAUCCUUCCUUGUCUCUCGAAGCCCAGGUGGCCUCGGUGGCACGGAACGCUUUUUACCAUCUUCGACUGGUAGCCCAGCUACGUCCCUAUCUGGACAGUGAUGACCUUGCCUCAGUUGUUCACGCUCUGGUAACUUCUAGGUUGGACUACUGCAAUGCGCUCUACGUUGGGCUGCUCUUGAAGAUAGUUCAGAAACUACAGCUAGUCCAGAAUGCAGCGGCCAGACUACUGACGCGGACCAGAAGGUCCGCUCAUAUAACCCCGUUCUGGCCCAUCUGCACUGGCUUCCUAUUUGUUUCCGGGCUAAAUUCAAAGUACUGGUUUUGACCUAUAAAGCCCUACACGGCAUGGGACCGCAAAACCUGGUGGAACGCCUCUCCCAAUAUGAACCUACCCGUACACUGCGCUUGACAUCCAAGGCCCUCCUCCAAGUGCCAUCCCAUCGAGAAGCUCGGAGGGUGGUGACCAGAACUAGGGCCUUCUCGGUGGUGGCCCCCGAAUUGUGGAAUAGUCUCCCCGAUGAGGUACGCCUGGCGCCGACGCUGCUAUCUUUUCGGCGCCAGGUGAAAACCUUUUUAUACUCCCAGGCAUUUUAAAAUGUAUCUUAAUAAUUGUUUUUAUCGUGUAUUUUAAACAGUAUCUUAUUAUUGUUAUAUUUUGAUGUUGCUUGGUUGUUGUUGUUUGUUGUUUUGACUUUUGAUUCUGUUAUAUUUACUGUAUUUAUAUAUUUUGCUUGUUUUAUCUUUUAUGUACACCGCCCAGAGAGCCAUUUUGGCUUAGGGCGGUAUAUAAAUUAAAUUAAAUAAAUAAAAUUAAAUAAAUUACACAGGCCAAACAGCAUCACAGUAUACAGUAGGGCCACACUUUCUGGCGUUCCGCUAAUAUAGCAGUGCCAGCGGGGCGAUGAGCUGUAGCAUUGGGAGCUCCAGCUGACAGCGAUUGGCUGUAGCGUGUGGGAAGCUCGCGUGCUACAGCUGAUUGCUGUCAGCUAUAGCGCGGCGGCUGGAGCUCCCCACGCUACAGCUGAUCGCGCACUACAGCUGACUUUCCAUCAAGUCUGAAAAACUGUAACUAGGGGGAGUUAUGUCUUUGCCCAGUCUGGGAACGGACUGCCAAGGCCGUUGCUAUGGUAGCCAUCGCGAUAAACUGGGAAAAGUUCUAGCAGCUAUCUGUGUUAAGCUGUGUCAUCUGUGUAUUGGCUCUGAACUGAGAGGUUGUCUUCUGUGUUUACCUUUGGAGAGAGAGGUACCAGAAGGGGGGUGACUGAAGAAACUCUACAUGUAUUUACUCUUAAGCCUUUGGCCAUAAUGUCUUAACAAAGACUCUUAACAUGCUCUAAUGCUCUGAAGAAGUUUCUUGCUCAACUUAACUCCAACGUAAUGUAUGCUGUUUCACGCAACAACGCACACACGUCAACAAGGAUUAUGGGCCCAGAUCCACAGCGCAUUACACGGGAGUAAGUUGUUGGUCUGAACGGCAGACGGAGUUCCAGAGGGCAGCUUGAUUGAUUGUACCAGACAGAGGUGAGCAACAUGGCUGUAAACCUGUCUGGGGGAGGCUUGCCAAUGGAAAGAUUGACGGAAAAGAAUUAUGGCAGCUGGAAGCCGAGGAUGCGGGCUUUGCUGAUAACAGAGGAUUUAUGGGACAUUAUAGAUGGACCACCCCCGCGGUAUUGACCGCGGCCUGGACGCGCAAAGAUCAGAGGGCGCAGGCGUUUAUAAUCUUGGCUCUAUCGGAUUCUCAACUGAUGUGUGUGAGAGAUGAGCCGUCGGCUAAACAGAUGUGGGACACGUUGCAGGAUUUGUCCCAGGAAUGGCAGCGGAGGCAGGAGGCGCAGAGAGCCGAGCUGAUGGAAGCUGUCAGAAGCAAGGAGGAGAAAAGUGCCGAACCGGAGGAGGCAGCCGAAAGCAAACAGGAUUACAAGCAGCAGCUGUUAAAGGCUUGUUAUGCCUGUGGGGCUCGUGGGCAUCUCCAGAAAGACUGUGCAAUCAAGCAAAACUCCAGGGACGGAGGCUUGAAGCAUGGAAGUGUGAACUUUGUUUGUAAACAGAAGUCUCAAGAUUUAGGACCUAUUGACUGGCUUGUCGACAGCGGGGCAAGCCAUAUAUUAAUUAAAGACAGAAGUUUGUUUUAUGCUUCAGAAGAAGUGCAGGAUUUUGUGCAACUUGCAGAUGGAUCACAGAAACGGGUGGAAGCCCGAGGACUGGUGAGAUUUAAUAAACUUGGGAUAAUGUCAGAAUGUUUGUUUGUUCCAGAAUUGGCUCAUAAUAUUUUAUCAGUUCAAAAACUGGUGGAUUCUGGAUAUUGUGUAACAUUUGAUAGAGGAAAAUGUUUUGUGCAGAGAACAGGCAAAGUUGUCUGUCAGGGAUUCAUGACACAGGGGCAGUUUAGAAUGACCGUGGGUGUGAAGUGUGCUGAUGCCUUGAGUUUAAUGGGGCGGAAAGAGAAUGACGGUCAGAGCUGUAAGAAGACAGCUGUUAAAAGCACACAGCCACAGUAUUCAUGUAAUGCAGUCAGGCUGAUGCCUGAAAGAGUGCAUCGCAGCCGAGUUUACAAGCCACAGGGUAAGAGACGUGGCAAAUGUGCACCUAGAGCACAAGAGAAUGCAUAUUUCAGAGUUUGGUGUCCAGAAACACAAGCGCAAACAUUUAAACCAGAUCUUGACAUAAAUCUGGAAAGCACGGAGACAAAGAGUCUGGUUUUGUCAGGAGCAAAGACAGGAGGUCUUGAAUGUUUUGUGGAUGCAGAUCAUCCAGGGGAACUGAGCAGUCGUAAGUCAACCUCUGGCAUAGUUGUGAUGUGGCACGGGUCAUGCAUUGACUGGAGUAGCAAGAGAACAAAACAUAUUAGUGUCAGAUACUUUCACGUAAGGGAUUGUGUGCAGCAGGAGUUUGUUAACCUAACAUUUUGUGACACUGACAACAUGGUGGCUGACAUAAUGACCAAGCCUUUGUGUGAGGAGAAAUUUGGCAAACUGGUGACAAGGCUUGGAAUGAGCCAAAGUUUGAUUGAAUAAAGUUCUAGCUAAAUGUACAGAGAUGUACUGUAAUGUACUGAGAUGUAGUUUGGAACUGUAUUGCAAGGUGUAUUGUAGAAAUGUAUUGUUGUUAUUGUUGUAAUGAGUUACAGACAUGAUGGGGAAAAAGGGGGGAUUGUUGACCAUUGAACCGCACUGUCACUGAGUUUGUUUUCCAUCAAGUCUGAAAAACUGUAACUAGGGGGAGUUAUGUCUUUGCCCAGUCUGGGAACGGACUGCCAAGGCCGUUGCUAUGGUAGCCAUCGCGAUAAACUGGGAAAAGUUCUAGCAGCUAUCUGUGUUAAGCUGUGUCUUCUGUGUAUUGGCUCUGAACUGAGAGGUUGUCUUCUGUGUUUACCUUUGGAGAGAGAGGUACCAGAAGGGGGGUGACUGAAGAAACUCUACAUGUAUUUACUCUUAAGCCUUUGGCCAUAAUGUCUUAAUAAAGACUCUUAACAUGC